GCCCCGGUAGGCCAAUCGGCAGAGCCGACGCUCUCAAAAGGCGCACAGUGUGGGUUCGAAUCCCACCCGGGGCA
rnacentral:tRNA from 1 species